CUUGGGUCCCGCCCCAGAGACUCUGACUCAAUUUGAAUGUGGCAACGCUUGGGCACUGGAAUUUUCAAAAAAUUUCCCAAUCCGAUUCUAAUGUGCAGUUGGGAUUGAGAUCCACUGGUCCAGACUGAUUUGAAUCAAAAGAAUGGAAGGAGAAGAGGUAACAUACUGGACCCCUCAUCACAUCCACCGAAGCCUUUCCAAAGGAAGUCAUCACUGGACCUUGUUUUUGUUCCUGCAUCAUUUGAACAAGUCCAAACUGGAAAUCUAUACAGCUCACAAAAAAGCCCUCCACCCAAAAGACCCCCCACCCCCACCCAACCCCAAU
rnacentral:lncRNA from 1 species